UUUAGAUGUUACACAUGGAAGAAUCUUAGGUUCAUAGUUUUAGGACUCACAUGUGAAAAGGUUUUAGUUUACCGUUUCAGGAAUUACAUAUGAAAGGGUUCCGGUUUACAGUUUUAGGACUCACAUGUGAAAAGGUUUCUGGUUUGAUCUUGUUUUCAAUAAAAAUAGUGCCUUCUGAAGGGUUUCCCCAAGGCCUAGCCUGUUGUUUUCAGGAAGGAGAUUCAGGAGGCGCCAGCUGGCCUGCUCUCUCUUCUAUUGAGAUGCGCAGUGGAUGACAGAGGGGAAGGGAAUCCCAAAUGCCUGGGUCUCCCUCCUCACCCCCCCCUUUGAGACCCUCACCAUUUUAUAAUAUUAGUGAGAGGUCUCACUUUCAUUCUCACUUUCCAGAUUUUCUGAAGAAACCAACUGAUAAUGUU